GAGAGUGACUUAGCUCAGUUGGUAGAGCGUCGGAGUAUAAAUCCGGAGGUCGUGGGUUCAAGCACACGACUUUUUUA
rnacentral:tRNA from 1 species